GACGAACGCUGGCGGCGUGCUUAACACAUGCAAGUCGAACGAAGUGGCGAACGGGUGAGUAACGCGUAAUCAACCUGCCCUUCAGAGGGGUACAACAGUUGGAAACGACUGCUAAUACGGCAUACUGUAGGAGGUGGUUUCGUGUGAUUAGCUAGUUGGAGGGGUAACGGCCCACCAAGGGGAUGAUGAGUAGCCGGUCUGAAAGGAUGAACGGCCAAAUUGGGAAUGAGACACGGCCCAGACUCCUACGGGAGGCAGCAGUGGGGAAUCUUCCGAAAUGGACGAAAGUCUGACGGAGCAACGCCGCGGGAGUGAUGAAGGCCUUCGGGUUGUAAAGCUCUGUUAAUCGGGACGCGGUACCGGAAUAGAAAGCCACGGCUAACUACGUGCCAGCAGCCGCGGUAAUAC
rnacentral:rRNA from 1 species